GCGGGUUUAGCUCAGUGGUAGAGCAUUGGAUUGCAAAUCCUGGGGUCGCUGGUUCAAUCCCGGCAGCCCGCU
rnacentral:tRNA from 1 species